rnacentral:rRNA from 1 species
AGCGAACGCUGGCGGCAGGCUUAACACAUGCAAGUCGAGCGGGCCCUUCGGGGGUCAGCGGCGGACGGGUGAGUAACGCGUGGGAACGUGCCUUCUGGUCUGGAAUAACCCUGGGAAACUAGGGCUAAUACCGGAUACGCCCUUUUGGGGAAAGUUACUGCCGGAAGAUCGGCCCGCGUCUGAUUAGCUAGUUGGUGGGGUAACGGCCUACCAAGGCGACGAUCAGUAGCUGGUCUGAGAGGAUGANCAGCCACGCUGGGACUGAGACACGGCCCAGACUCCUACGGGAGGCAGCAGUGGGGAAUAUUGGACAAUGGGCGCAAGCCUGAUCCAGCCAUGCCGCGUGAG